CGGUUCGAUUCGAUUUUUCAUCCACUUCGGUUCGAUUCGGUUUCUAAAAUUUGUAAUUCGGUUAUCGUGAUUUAAUUCGGUUCGGUUUGAACUAAAUGCUCACCCCUAGCUAUCACAUGACCAGAAUAUGCCACAAAUUGCCAUCAAUUUUCUUAUCAGUGAACUCAUCCAGCCAUUUUGACUUAGAUAUAAUCAGCACUACUCAAUCAUUAUAUCAACUAUUCCUGUUCAACCAUUGGUCUAGGCUUUUGCCCAAAGGAAUGCACUUUUUAGGCCUCAACCCGAGCCCAAAACAGCCCUGCAGGUUGGGGCCCAAUUGUAAUAAAAUGUGUUUUUGGUUGGAUUGAGCCGCAAGUAAAGGCAUGUCUCAAACCCAAGCCCACUUUUCAGGCAAGAGUUGAUUGAGCUGGGCCCAGAGAUAAUCCUCCUGCACAAGCCCUGCCCACAGCGGAAGCUAUGGUUUGAGGAUACUAACGAGUCAUCAUUGCCCUAGCAUGCAAUGUGCUGCAACUCGAAACACUCAACCAGUGUGAGUUUGCAAGUAUGUAAUAUUUAAUCAUACAAAUCCAAAUAUGAUUGGUGUUCCAUAAGCCAUCCAAGUUCAAUGAAAGCAACUAAUUAUUACGUGUAAGUUUCUUAGCAGAAAGGCAAGAUGCCUCGUGAUUCUAAACAUUAUGGGCAUAAGAAGCAUUCUUCUAUAAUGUGUAGACAUUAGGGGUACGCAAUAAACGGUUUUAACAGAAACAAUGAAUUGAACCGAUUUACUUCGGUUUUUUUUCAGUUCAAUUUUUGAGUUGUACCAUUUGAUUCAGUUAAUAAUUAAGGAAUUUUGGUUUUCCAUUCAGUUGGUUUAUUUUUGCUAAAAAAACCGAAUAUAAACCAAACCGAUUGAUUCGGGGCUUGGACAGCAUAGGAGGGAAUAAAGGAAGCAAAAUGAAGCCAAAACAGGACAUUCCAGAAGGGGCAGUAGGUUUGUACACUGAGGCACAUGCCCUAGGCAUGUGAUCUUCUGAG
rnacentral:misc_RNA from 1 species